rnacentral:rRNA from 1 species
GCGAGUCGAGCGUCUCUAGCUAUGUUGAGACGCGGCAGACGGCUCAGUAACACGUGGCUAACCUACCCUCAGGACGAGGAUAAACCCGGGAAACUGGGGCUAAUACUCGAUAGGUGAGAAUGUCUGGAAUGAUUUCUCACUCAAAGGGCCUUGGGAACAUGCUUCCAAUGUCGCCUGGGGAUGGGGCCGCGUCCGAUCAGGUUGUUGGUGAGGUAAUGGCUCACCAAGCCUAUAACCGGUACGGGCCGUGAGAGCGGUAGCCCGGAGAUGGGUACUGAGACAAGGACCCAGGCCCUACGGGGCGCAGCAGUCGCGAAAACUCCGCAAUGCACGAAAGUGUGACGGGGCUACCCCGAGUGCCAUCCGCUGAGGGUGGCUUUUCCUUGGUAUAACUAGCCGAGGGAAUAAGGAGAGGGCAAGACUGGUGUCAGCCGCCGCGGUAAUACCAGCUCUCCGAGUGGUAGGGAUGAUUAUUGGGCUUAAAGCGUCCGUAGCCGGCUUAGCAAGUCUCCUGUUAAAUUCAGCGACCUAAUCGUUGAGCCGCGGGAGAUACUACUAGGCUAGGAGGCGGGGAGAGGUCGACGGUACUUCUGG